rnacentral:rRNA from 1 species
UACAGAGGUCUCAAGCGUUGUUCGGAUUCAUUGGGCGUAAAGGGCGCGUAGGCUGCGGGGCAAGUCGGGUGUGAAAUCUCAGGGCUCAACCCUGAAACUGCACUUGAUACUGCUCUGCUUGAGGACUGGAGAGGAGACUGGAAUUCACGGUGUAGCAGUGAAAUGCGUAGAUAUCGUGAGGAAGACCAGUGGCGAAGGCGGGUCUCUGGACAGUUCCUGACGCUGAGGCGCGAAGGCCAGGGGAGCAAACGGG